rnacentral:rRNA from 1 species
AGUGAACGCUGGCGGUAGGCCUAACACAUGCAAGUCGAACGGCAGCACAGUAAGAGCUUGCUCUUACGGGUGGCGAGUGGCGGACGGGUGAGGAAUACAUCGGAAUCUACUUUUUCGUGGGGGAUAACGUAGGGAAACUUACGCUAAUACCGCAUACGACCUACGGGUGAAAGCAGGGGAUCUUCGGACCUUGUGCGAUUGAAUGAGCCGAUGUCGGAUUAGCUAGUUGGCGGGGUAAAGGCCCACCAAGGCGACGAUCCGUAGCUGGUCUGAGAGGAUGAUCAGCCACACUGGAACUGAGACACGGUCCAGACUCCUACGGGAGGCAGCAGUGGGGAAUAUUGGACAAAGGACGCAAGCCUGAUCCAGCCAUACCGCGUGGGUGAAGAAGGCCUUCGGGUUGUAAAGCCCUUUUGUUGGGAAAGAAAAGCAGCAGGUUAAUACCCCGCUGUUCUGACGGUACCCAAAGAAUAAGCACCGGCUAACUUCGUG